rnacentral:rRNA from 1 species
UACAGAGGGUGCAAGCGUUGUUCGGAAUUAUUGGGCGUAAAGCGCGUGUAGGCGGCAUGGCAAGUCGGGUGUGAAAGCCCUCAGCUCAACUGAGGAAGUGCGCCCGAAACUGCUUUGCUUGAGUGCUGGAGAGGGUCGCGGAAUUCCCCAAGUAGAGGUGAAAUUCGUAGAUAUGGGGAGGAACACCGGUGGCGAAGGCGGUGACCUGGACAGUAACUGACGCUGAGACGCGAAAGCGUGGGUAGCAAACAGG